rnacentral:rRNA from 1 species
CAGCAGCCGCGGUAAUACGUAGGUGGCGAGCGUUGUCCGGAAUUACUGGGUGUAAAGGGCGUGUAGGCGGGACGGCAAGUCAGAUGUGAAAUACCUCGGCCUAACUGGGGUGCUGCAUCUGAAACUGUCGUUCUUGAGUGUCGGAGAGGAAAGUGGAAUUCCCAGUGUAGCGGUGAAAUGCGUAGAGAUUGGGAGGAACACCAGUGGCGAAGGCGGCUUUCUGGACGAUAACUGACGCUGAGGCGCGAAAGCGUGGGUAGCAAACAGGAUUAGAUACCCUGGUAGUCCACGCUGUAAACGAUGGAUACUAGGUGUAGGAGGUAUCGACCCCUUCUGUGCCGGAGUUAACACAAUAAGUAUCCCACCUGGGGAGUACGGCCGCAAGGUUGAAACUCAAAGGAAUUGACGGGGGCCCGCACAAGCAGUGGAGUAUGUGGUUUAAUUCGAAGCAACGCGAAGAACCUUACCAGGGCUUGACAUCCCUCUGACAGGCUUAGAGAUAAGCUUUCUCUUCGGAGCAGAGGAGACAGGAGGUGCAUGGCC